rnacentral:rRNA from 1 species
GUGGGGAAUCUUGCGCAAUGGGCGAAAGCCUGACGCAGCCAUGCCGCGUGGAUGAUGAAGGUCUUAGGAUUGUAAAAUCCUUUCACCGGUGAAGAUAAUGACUGUACCCACAGAAGAAGCCCCGGCUAACUCCGUGCCAGCAGCCGCGGUAAUACGGAGGGGGCUAGCGUUGCUCGGAAUUACUGGGCGUAAAGGGCGCGUAGGCGGAUCGUUAAGUCAGGGGUGAAAUCCCAGAGCUCAACUCUGGAACUGCCCUUGAUACUGGCGAUCUUGAGUGUGAGAGAGGUAUGUGGAACUCCGAGUGUAGAGGUGAAAUUCGUAGAUAUUCGGAAGAACACCAGUGGCGAAGGCGACAUACUGGCUCAUUACUGACGCUGAGGCGCGAAAGCGUGGGGAGCAAACAGGAUUAGAAACCCCAGUAGUCC